AACGAACGCUGGCGGCGUGCUUAACACAUGCGAGUCGAACGCGAACGGGUUCUUCGGGACCUUAGUAGAGUGGCGCACGGGUGAGUAACGCGUAAGUUAUCUACCUCGGCAUCUGGAAUAACUCACCGAAAGGUGUGCUAAUACCGGAUACGUUGAGUAAUCAAGAAAGGUGGCCUCUCUUUGAUGCUACCGUGCUGAGAUGAGCUUGUGUACCAUUAGCUAGUUGGUGGGGUAAUGGCCUACCAAGGCGACGAUGGUUAGCGGGUCUGAGAGGAUGAUCCGCCACACUGGAACUGGAACACGGACCAGACUCCUACGGGAGGCAGCAGUGAGGAAUAUUGCGCAAUGGGGGCAACCCUGACGCAGCGACGCCGCGUGGAUGAUGAAGGCCUUCGGGUCGUAAAAUCCUGUCAGGUGGAAAGAAAUGCAUAUGUGCUAAUACCAUGUAUGCUUGACGGUACCACCGAAGGAAGCACCGGCUAACUCCGUGCCAGCCGCCGCAGUAA
rnacentral:rRNA from 1 species